AAAUGCAUUAGCACAGCUCAGGUAGGCAAAAAUUGAUCUCAGGUCUCUCACGUGUUGGAUUACACUUCUAGCCCUCAGGCUGCUGUGCAGCGUGCUGUGGCAGCAGUGCCUCCAUGUAAAAGGAAAUCACUCACAGCUGGAGGCUACAAGAAGAAAGGAAUGGGAAGGCAGGCAGCUCACCGUCUCUCCUGGGGAAACUACUUCUUUUACACAAGGAACAAAUGGGUCAAAUAACAAGAAAGCGAUGUCCUAUAUACUGGACCUGUAUACUGGUGGCACCUCAGUGGGAGUAUUCCGAUGCAGUGAGUUCUGAUUUGAAGCACAGAAAGCCUCCAGAGAGCGGGGACAGAAGGAUCACCAUGAAUCCUGUAGGACUAUGGGUCUGUAAAUCAGGGAAACAGCAAAACACCGGGCUGCACUUUAAACCCAUCCCAAUGCUUAUCAUCACGCAGCAGGGUAAGCAGAGCAUUCACAGCUGAUAAAAGCUCACUACCAAUACUUCUGGCAGCUCAGGCUUUCAUCCAGCAAAACGUCCAAAAAUGCACAUAAAAGGAUGCACUUAAGCAGCUGAACAGAAGACACUAAAAACACAGCGAUCUUCCUCUCCCAAGCCUCAGGUCUUUAAGCGCUCUGUGUGAGGAAGGCUGCUUGUUGGCAGCCUGUUAUCUGACAGUCUAGCUGCUGCUGAAGCUGUACGUAAAGAAUACAGCUUCUCAGGGCUGAUUCUGAUCUUGCUGACAUUGCAAUAUAUCAGGAGUAUUGCUAAUACCAUAACUGGAAUAAUUACACAACUUUAAAAGGCAGGGAGAGGGAGGGAGCGGAGUGAGAGGCAGCGUUUGAUACCAGACAAAGACACUCAGUGAGCAGUCAUGCACAUUCAGUUCAGCCUUGUGACUCAUUUUCUGACACUAUUUUUUUUUUUUGAGGAAUUUUCUCCAAUCCCUUUUUUUACGCUGUUUUUUUGGGAAGAAAUGUUUCCUACCAGUACCAAGGCUUUUCUUCUCUCAGUGCUCACACCUUGCACGCUCUCUGCUCCAUGUUUACAGUCAGUUCUCAGGGUGAUCCUGAGGUCUGAAAGUUCAGUUAAAGCAAAACUUCGGAGCAUAAUUUUAUUUAUUUUUUAAUUAGGUAUGAAAUGCCUAGGCUUGAUGUGAUGGAAAAAGAAGAAAGGCAGUGAGGUGGCCAGCUGAACAGCAUAUAUUCCUGGUCAAGAGCUGACCGGGGCUGCCGAGGCACAGCAAAGCUCAACGAGAAGGCAAGUUGGGUGGCAUCUGCAAGGCCAGCUUGGGUGCCCACAAUCCCUGGCAAUUUUAGGCCACCCCAGGAUGAUCCAUUCACGAUUUGAAAAAAUCCAGAGACUACAUCUUUCAAUCCAUACAUUUGAUUUUGUGCACGCAUUGAAAUGUUUGGACAGCCACAGAUACUUUAAUGAUGGCCUAAGUGAAUUACUGCAUCGAUAAAAAAGUUACUUUUAAAAAUGACAACUAACUUGGAAAGCUGGAAAACAUCGACCCGAAGUUCUAAAGUUUGUGAACAACAGAAACUCUCGAAGCUCACAAUUUACUGAUGCCCAUACCAGUAAUACACAGCCCUGUGGACUGCAUUUUCAGCAGGUGCAUUUAUUAGCAUUAAGUCGCCUACAUCCAUCUCGGCCACUAGUCCUUUUGAUUCGUUUCUCGAACUGCCACAGCUAAAUAUACAGCCGUCAAGAUCGUUCUACUUCUGUUGCUGCAAUUCUGUGCUAAACGGCACAAGGUCGCUGCUUUUCUGUUAGCGUUAUAAAUCUUACACCACGGUCUGAUUUCCUAAUGGAAAACUCAUGGUUGCAAACAU